GGGGUAGCACCGGUUUCGAUUGCCGGUGCGCGGAAAGGUAAGCAUGCCGAGGAACGAGUGGCCUCGAUAAAACAUUCGGCUUAAAUUUAAAUGCAGAUAACAAUGCAAACUACAGCGCCCCUGUGGCGUUGGCUGCUUAAUUAACAUUUAAGCGGUUCCGUCUGCGCCUCUUUCCCGUCGGGAGGUUGCGGGCGUCAAUGCAGGCGGGGUACUGCCGUUUCGAUUUGAAAUCGGCGAAGCGGCGGAAUUCAGAUUUCUGCGUGUGUGAUUUUUCGUCCGCAGAAGAUCAUGCAUUAAGAUAAUUGCGGCAUAAGCAUGUAGAAAGCCUUUCGACAAUCCGGUAAGACGAGAGUUCAUCUCUCGCCUACUCCACCA
rnacentral:tmRNA from 1 species